GCUGGCGGCGUGCCUAAUACAUGCAAGUCGAGCGGACAGAUGGGAGCUUGCUCCCUGAUGUUAGCGGCGGACGGGUGAGUAACACGUGGGUAACCUGCCUGUAAGACUGGGAUAACUCCGGGAAACCGGGGCUAAUACCGGAUGGUUGUUUGAACCGCAUGGUUCAGACAUAAAAGGUGGCUUCGGCUACCACUUACAGAUGGACCCGCGGCGCAUUAGCUAGUUGGUGAGGUAACGGCUCACCAAGGCAACGAUGCGUAGCCGACCUGAGAGGGUGAUCGGCCACACUGGGACUGAGACACGGCCCAGACUCCUACGGGAGGCAGCAGUAGGGAAUCUUCCGCAAUGGACGAAAGUCUGACGGAGCAACGCCGCGUGAGUGAUGAAGGUUUCGGAUCG
rnacentral:rRNA from 1 species